AGAAAGAAAGGAGAAACAGUUAAAAAGAAAAGUGAUAUAAUUAAAGAAGUGACUUCGAUUUUCAUCACAAAAAGUACAGUUCUCCUAGGGCUGAACAGGGGAGAGGUCUUGGAUAGAAAGGCUAACGAUUCUCCAGUUGACAAUUAGUCACUAAAGGAAGUCAGGAAGUUCAUCCUAUCCUAUCAUGACUGACUUGGAUUUUAAAUUAAUUUUCCCUCCUGGUUUGUAACUAUGUACCACAGAGCAAAUUAAAGUAAGUUCUGGGCAAGAAAAAUGGACGCAUACAGGAGCAAAUGCAGUUUUUGGAGCACAAAAGAAAAAUGGAUUGGGUGAGUAAUGCCAGCACUGGGAGAACUACACCAAAAGGCUAACAAGAAAGUAUGUAGCAGAAUAAAUCAUUUAUGUUCUUGGCAGUUUCCGUAAUACAAUCCCCUCUGGGAUUUGCAACAAUCAACAUAGUGUAGUGAGGAUUUAUCUGAUUCCCACAAAAAUCCUAACUUAUCAGAGGGGCCUCAAGAACUAAUAAUUACACAGAAGGAAAAAUAGCAAUGAAAAGAUUGGUACUAUAUAAAGGUACAUAUAUUUUUAUGCUGUAAAAUUGCCCUGACUAAUCUCAUGUUCACCAGAUACACUGAACUUUUGCCUGAACUAUUAUGACUGAGGAUAAUGAGAUAUACUGUUCAAUGAAUCUAAUUAUCUUGAUUACCUUAAUUAGAGAUUGAACAUUUGUAGCAAAACAUGUCUGUGUCCUUGAGACAUUGCCCAUCUGCCAAAACAGCAGCAAAUAACAGAGCUCUGAAAAUGACCUAUAUGCUCAAAGUUCCUUAGAAGCAGAAUCUCUAACAAAAUUAGUACCCAAUUAGAAUCAUCCUAUUUUCAUGCUGGCCCCAUGCGGAAAACAUUCUUUUAAUUUCUUGAAACGUUUCUCAUGUUUCCACAGUGGUAAAACUGAUGAAAAUUAGAUGGUGCCUUUCAUCCAAUCAUUGGGUCAUUAUGUUAGUAAGUUCAGCUAUCAUGACUCUUUUUUUCCUGGCUAGAUGCAGGACACGAGAAAGA